rnacentral:lncRNA from 1 species
GUGAGAUUUAUGAAUAUUGCAAGUAUACCUGUAAAUACAUUAAUAAGGCCCUUACACAACACACAUAUCCAGCUCCUAUUAGGCAGCAUCUUACCACGCCUCCUGGGGGCCAGGUGGGAUUAAAAACUAAUCCUACCUGAGUCAAGGAUUCAGUGAGGCAUGGUGGGAGGAUCCCAAGCCAAUAGACCUGAGUUCAAACACUUGUCCUACCACUUAUGGUCUGUGUGACACUAGAUGCUUGAGGAUGUUCCCAAAGGAUCAUCACAUCUUAAUGGUCAUAUCGAGUUGAUCACCUUCACCUGGAAAUCCUGUGCAUCUCUGGACUUCUCAAUACUCCAUAGUAACCUGGACUUCUAAGAAUACAAAGAUGGCACAAUAGGAUCAACAGUGGAUGAACUGGGAAUGACUUCCAGAAGAACAACAUUCGGGUAUCCAAGUGAUAAAAGCAGAACACCAAACUGACGUUUCGGUGCCACCAUCUUAGUGCUGCCAGUGUUUAUCCAAGCAAGUUCCACAGAUGCCAUCUACGACACACUCUAAGUGCAAAGCAGGAAUUGCAGGCUUCCCUUACACUAUUUAAGUUUUUAUCACUUUCUUUUCUUCAGCCAAAGGCAGAUAUAGCUGAAUUAGUUUAUGCUAGAAAAUAGAAUCAUAAGACAUUUCCAAAAUGGGAAGCAGUUAAAGGUGUCAGUUCUCACGCUGCAACAUUAUGAUGAAUACACAUCAGAAUCUUAUCAGAAGUAUUUCAAGUUUAAAGUUAGAACUGUUCUUGGCUGUCAAAGCCCAAAGUGUAGGGGGAUGGACAUUGCUCAAGAAUAAUGUCACCUAAGGGUCAGAAUCCAGCAAAAAUUGACAGUGGAACUCCUUCUGUUACUACAGGAGUCAAGAAGUCCCACAACUACUUCUGCUGCUAAGUUCUUAAAAUUUGUGCUGAUCACGAGUUUCUUAGGGACGUUCUUUCUCAUGAUGUCUUAUGACAUUCUUAAUUAUGCCAUUAUGUCAACUAUGCUGGAGUCUUCUGUUCAAAUAUUAUUCCUAAAAGUUUGUCCAACACCCUAGGAGAACAAUACUGAAUCUAAAACUCCUGAGCCAUAU